rnacentral:lncRNA from 1 species
CUGCCAGCUCUCGGUGGGGACAGAAAGGGUGAGCCACAGAGCUGGAAUCACAGAAUAUCCUGAGAUUUAAGGGGCUCACCAGGAUUAGGGAUCCAAGCCCUGGCCCUGCACAGACACCCCAACAAUCCCACCUGAGCAUCCCUGAGAGCAUUGUCCAAACACUCCUGGAGCUCUGGCAGCCUUGGGAAUGUCACCAUUCCCUGGGGAGCUGUUCCAGUGCCCAAACACCCUCUGGGGACAGAACCUUUCCCUGAUAUCCAACCUAAAGCCCCUCUGGCACACUCCAGCUGUUGCCUCAGUUGGUAAUGGAGCUGAGGAUUGAUGCUGAUAUUGUAUCACUAAAAAAAACACAGCAGCCUCAUGAUGGGUACCUGGUUGCAAUCCCAUUUUGUAACUGGUCAGACAACAAUUAGAUUUCAAAAUCCCCAGGUUUCUGGGAUCCAAGAGUCCAUCAGGAUUACUGAUCCAAUCUCUGGCCCUGUACAGACACCCCAAAAUCCUACCCUGUGCAUCCCUGAAAACACUGCCCAAACACCUCUGGAGCUCUGGCAGCUUUGAGAAUGUCACCAUUUUCUGGGGAGCCUGUUCAGUGCACAAUCAUCCUUUGGAGACAGAACCUUUUCCUGAUAUUUAAUCCAAUAUCCCCAGGCACAGCUGAAAGGGUUGACAAAAGAGAUACCUUGCUCCAGGAAUACUGUGGAUUUUGGCAACAGGACAGGCCUGGAGAAGAAGAGAAGGCCUCUCCUCCAAGGCCUCAGCCCACAGCAAUGCUGUGUCUUUAUUUGUGACAUGCUGCUUUAAAAAAAGAAAGACUGAAUGUCAAAACUACUAGAAGCAAACUUUGAAAACCAAGAAAUAAUUCAUUUAAAAUCAGCAUCAAACCCAUGCCUCUCCCUUGUGUUCUUCCAUAAACUCCUCCAAAAAUGAGGUGUUUCAACAAGAGCAGUUAAUUAUACAGACAUAAUGUGAAGCAAGACAUUUAUAAAAUCCCCCGAUGGCGGAUGGAAUGAUCAGAGCAUCACAAAAUAUUUGCAAUUAAACAGAGAAAUGUUCGGGAUUUCUGGUUGUGCCUUGCACUGUUGGUGGUAAUCUUACAGUGGCAUAUAAUAAAACAGCUGUAGAAGGAAAGAAACCCCCCUGGAAGAUCAGGUGAUGAGAAAACACAUUGUGAUCCCAAGAUAAUAAAAACCUGCACUGAUUCUUAAUCAGGAUCAGUGAAUGAACCAGUUCUCUGCUUCACUGUUUCUCAAUGAGACAAUUGCAUCUUGUCAAACAACUGCUCAGCUCAUGCAAAGAUAAAAACAUCCAGUAAUUAUCUUUAUAUGCAAGAAAUUUGGAUUAGAGUACAGGCACAAAAUAAAAGUGUUGCCCCACUUGAAAAGAAUUGGAAUUUUGCAUGCAGAAAUGCAUCUUUUCCUAUGAAAAACAUGUGACCUGGGGAAUAUCUGAAAAAAUAUUCACACCCCUUUCUUGUUUGUUUGGUGGAGGAUCCCACAUAGUCUCUGUGCUUGGUGUAGGAGUCCCAUUCUAAUGUCAACACAGAUAAAAAAUGUCUGAAAUUUUGAGGAAAACUUCUGGGAGCCAACAACCUUCCUUGUUCCUACAGGUUUGCAAAGAAGCUGAAAAGAUUUUGCUUUAUCCAAUGGAGACACAUAAUUUGUAUUCAGAACCAGCUUCUGAAGUGACAGCAAGAUUUUUCCAUCGGAGAUUUCCUCAAUUAACCCCAAGACAUGCAAAUUGGCAUUUUUACUAAUAUUCUCCAAGGUCUCAGGCUUGUGAUGAGCAGAGUCUCUCAUUAGCACACCUGUACGAGCUCUGCAGCAAGCACACACAGCUCCUGGCAUCAGAAUGUUUUCCAACUCCAUUCCCACAUCAGCAGCUCCACUCUCACGGGAUGCAGAAGACAAUGCCCAGAUCCCAGCAGGGCCUUGAGCUGCUCCAGAAUGUGCAGAUCAACAAUGCUACUGGGGUUUGGUGGGCAAUCCCCUCCAAAAAGUAGGGAUGAGGAAAGAUUUAGUCCCCUAAAAUAUGAGGAAAUGCGCACAAAACGGGAUCAAAUAUAGAUAUAAAGGAAUAUAAAGUUAUGUAAGAUGUAUAAUAUCAGGGAAUCACUGGUUUGGGUUGGAAAGGACAUUAAAGCUCAUCUCCUUCCAACCCCCUGUCGUGGGCUGGGACACCUUCCACUAGACCAGGUUGCUCAGAGCCCAAUUUUCAGAGUCAUUACAUGAAGUGUAUUAGAAACAGCCUCUCCCACCCUCCAGGCAAUGU